AUUCCAGCUCCAAUAGCGUAUAUUAAAGUUGUUGCAGUUAGAACGCUCGUAGUCGGACGUUGGCGGGCGCCUCGAGUCGGCCUCACGGUCGAUCUUGUUGGCGACCGCCUUUGUGGAGGGGGGCUUAGGUCGGUGCUUUAUUGUCAUCCCUUUGUCGCUGCCACCGUUUACUGUGAAAAAAUUAGAGUGUUCAAAGCGGGCGUUUGCCAUGAAUACAUUAGCAUGGAAUAAUAGAAUAGGACCUGGUCCUGUUUUGUUGGUUUGUGAGUAUCAGGUAAUGAUUAAGAGGGACGGUUGGGGGCAUUUGUAUUCCGGCGUCAGAGGUGAAAUUCUUGGAUUGCCGGAAGACAAACAGCUGCGAAAGCGUCUGCCAAGGACGUUUUCAUCA
rnacentral:rRNA from 1 species